rnacentral:lncRNA from 1 species
GGCGGGUCCGGGCCUGGCCAAGCCCGAGGCCGGCUCCUCCCGGUCGGAGCCCAGCGCCCGGGCGGCGGCGGCGGAGGGCGGGUGCCCUUUGGAGACCGAACAAGGUCUUAAACACUUUGCCCCUGAGAACCAAUACUAUUCUUGAGAUGCUUUAAAAGUUUUAUUUCCGAAGAAGAGGAAGAGGAAGAGGAAGAGGAAGAGGAAGAAGAAGAAGAAGAAGAAGAAGAAGAAGAAGAAGAAGAAGAAGAAGAAGAAAGUUGUUUUAUUUAUAAACUCUGAAGGACUAUGGGACAGACAUUGAAUUACAUGAAUUUAUCACAAUGUCACUUGAACAACUCUCCUCUACAUUUUAGCUUUGCUCUGAAAUAUACUCAUUGGGGAAGAUCGAAAAUAAGGAUGGGGAAGAUGGUGGAAGAAUAAGGUCCCCAAGUCACCUGUCCCCUCCAAAUUACCUAGAUAACCUUCAAAUCAUCCUGAAAAUUUAUGAAUCCGGCCUGAGAUUUAAAGAGAGAACAGCUGGAAUGCUACAGUGAGAAGAGUUCACGCUUCUAUCAAGGUAGGAUGAUGGGGGGAAAUGAAAUAGAGAAACAAAAGGCAUCCAAGGGGGAGGGGCCUCACGAGAAGUCCAGCAAAGGCUAGUGCCCCCAGAAGAGGAAAGCCCCGUCCUGGAGAAGCAGGAGCUUAACCAAUCUUCCCAAGCAGAAAGAUGCUCGCAGGGAGUUAGAGCAGGACCCCAGGAAGGCGGGGAUGCCCUCAGGCUCCCUGGGACACUAACAGACACCUGCGCCCCCAGGAAAGUGCACCCA